UAAGAGCCCCCGCACACUGGCCACUUAGUGGCGGCCACGCUUCAGCCACUAGUGGCCGCCACAACCUGCGGACGCGUUUCUUCAUACAUUUUAUAUAGAAUCGGCGCACACUGAGCGCUUGAGUGGCCGCGUCCGAGCCACAAGCUGCGAGAGUCGAGCGCGCUCGCUACUUGUGGCUGCGUUUUGUCGUUCGACUCGUGCAUACACGGCCACAGUUGCCGGCUUCUUCCCACCCCUGCGCGCCGCUCCCCAAUCCCGUCUCCCGGGUCUAGUCUUGUUGUAAGCUGCGUACUGAAUGCACGUGCAUGAUGUCCACGGAUCCGAUUCCUCAUUUUGAUGUAGACGCUUUUAUUUCCGAUGUCGAAGAGCGACCCGCUAUUUGGGAUUUAAAGUCAGAUUUGUAUAGCGACAGGGGUAAGAAAACUGAAGCUUGGGAGGAAUUGUGCCUAAAAUUUAUUCCAAAUUUUAGUGAAAAAAAUGUAGCGGAAAAAAACAAAGCAGCAUCCCAGUUGCAGCGAAAAUGGAAAAGCCUUCGUGACUGCUUCAAAAGAGAACACUCUAAACAAAUGAGCGUUAAAAGUGGAUCUGCAUCAUCGAGUCGCAAGCCGUAUAUAUAUUAUCAACAACUAUCUUUUUUAAAAAACUUGGCUGACACACGACGUGAUCCCAGCCCAUUACCGAACGAGGUACACGAUGCGACUGAGAGAAAAAGGCCAAAAAAGAACAAGACAAAUAAUGAAGACAUUCAAGCAGAAACUGAUAUACUUGUUAGUAUUUCAGAACAAUUACAAUCUCGUCAUUCUAACAAGCAUGAAGAAGACGCUGACCAUAACUUUGCUUUGUCCUUGGUCCCGCACUUUAAACAAAUACCCAAUGAAUUUAAAUUGGAUGCUCAAACCGAUGUAUUGAUGGUACUAAAAAAAUAUAAACAGUAUAUGCGAACAUCACAGAAUCAACAACAUGGAUAUUUCACAUCAUCAUUUCAGGAACCACGCUCAUACCAUACUAUGCAACCAUCUACUUCGGGUUAUCAACCGACUCCGCGUCCAUCUGCUUUGGGAUAUCAAUCGGCUUCGCGUCCACCUUCUAUGGGAUAUCAAUCAAAUUUUGAGCAUGACUUUUCCGUUACCUCGCCAUCUGCAUCUGAUAAUACUAUGAAUUCUGUUUUGUCAGAUGAUAUAAAUGAACAUCUUUUUGACAACUGACUAUGUAAAAGUAAAUGUGUAUUUGUUAUAAAAACUGUAUAUCUGCGAUAUGUAACUUGAUUUAGUUUGCGAUUUUUCAAUUCUCAUUAAUAAAUAAUUUCUAUUUCAA